rnacentral:rRNA from 1 species
CCCCGUUCGGGGGACAGGGUGACAGGUGGUGCAUGGGUUGUCGUCAGCUCGUGUCGUGAGAUGUUGGGUUAAGCCCCGCAACGAGCGCAACCCUCGCCUCUAGUUGCCAGCAUUCGGUUGGGCACUCUAGAGGGACUGCCGGCGACAAGUCGGAGGAAGGUGGGGAUGACGUCAAAUCAUCAUGCCCCUUAUGACCUGGGCUACACACGUGCUACAAUGGGCGGUACAAAGGGCUGCGAACCCGCGAGGGGGAGCGAAUCCCAAAAAAGCCCGCUCUCAGUUCGGAUUGCAGGCUGCAACUCGCCUGCAUGAGGCCGGAAUCGCUAGUAAUUGCGGAUCAGCAUGCCGCGGUGAAUACGUUCCCGGGCCUU